rnacentral:rRNA from 1 species
GGCAGCUACCAUGCAGUCGAGCGAACCUUCGGGUUAGCGGCGGACGGGUGAGUAACGCGUGGGAACGUACCCUCUUCUGCGGGAUAGCCACUGGAAACGGUGAGUAAUACCGCAUACGCCCUUCGGGGGAAAGAUUUAUCGGAGGAGGAUCGGCCCGCGUUGGAUUAGGUAGUUGGUGGGGUAAUGGCCUACCAAGCCUACGAUCCAUAGCUGGUUUUAGAGGAUGAUCAGCCACACUGGGACUGAGACACGGCCCAGACUCCUACGGGAGGCAGCAGUGGGGAAUCUUAGACAAUGGGCGCAAGCCUGAUCUAGCCAUGCCGCGUGAGUGACGAAGGCCUUAGGGUCGUAAAGCUCUUUCGCCAGAGAUGAUAAUGACAGUAUCUGGUAAAGAAACCCCGGCUAACUCCGUGCCAGCAGCCGCGGUAAUACGGAGGGGGUUAGCGUUGUUCGGAAUUACUGGGCGUAAAGCGCACGUAGGCGGAUUGGAAAGUUGGGGGUGAAAUCCCAGGGCUCAACCCUGGAACUGCCUCCAAAACUCCCAGUCUGGAGUUCGAGAGAGGUGAGUGGAAUUCCGAGUGUAGAGGUGAAAUUCGUAGAUAUUCGGAGGAACACCAGUGGCGAAGGCGGCUCACUGGCUCGAUACUGACGCUGAGGUGC